rnacentral:rRNA from 1 species
GAGUUCAAGAGUACGUGAAACUGCUUAGAGGUUAAGCCCGAUGAACCUGAAUAUCCGUUAUGGAAAAUUCAUCACUAAUCCUAUGAUAUUUAUCAUAUUAUAGAAAUGGUGUGCAAUUUUUCCAUAUAAGGACAUUGUAAUAUGUUAAUGUAUUAAAUACUUAUCAAAAGAUCUAUUAAUUUUAGUUUAUUCAAAUUAGUUAUUUUCGGAUUUCUAACAUAAAAUAAAUAUAAUAGAUUUGAUAAAUCAUUGACAUAUUUCAUUAUAUAUAGUGCUUAAAUUUUUCGAAAUUUUACAAUGAUAUAUAAAUCUGUUGAUUUAUUUAUUUAUAUUGUAUGCGCUUAUAUGAUUAACAAUGCGAUAGAUUCAGGAUACCUUCGGGACCCGUCUUGAAACACGGACCAAGGAGUCUAACAUAUGUGCAAAUCAUUGGGUAUUUUUAAUAAAACCCAAAGGUGUAAUUAACUUAACUGUUUAAAUGGGAUUAGUUUAUAUUUUAUUAUGAAAUAUAAAUUCAAUCCCGGGGCGUUCUAUACAGUUAUGCAUAAUGAUAUUUAUAUUAUUUAUGCCUCUUACUAGAGC